AAAAAAUUAGUUAAAUAAAUAACAUUAGUUUGUCAAACUAAAAUUAUCAAUUAAUUGAUAUUUUUUA
rnacentral:tRNA from 1 species